rnacentral:lncRNA from 1 species
CCCCUUGUAGUUUAUACUACCACUUGUAUUAAAAAAAAUCAAUACAAAUAUUAUACCAAAAAAUAAGAACAACUACAAAGAGUAAAUAUAUUUUUUUCAAUGCAAAACAUUAAUUAAAGUUAUUGAACACAUAUUUAUCAUGGCACAAUUGAAUAUUUAUAUAUGUCAACGAGAGUUGGUUGAGUUGAUAAGAAUCAUUCUCUUCGCUAUCAAGGCCUAGGUUCGGGUCCCGCCGUCGACAGUCCCUCUUAGUAGGUAAUCUGUAAAAACAAAAAAAUAGGCUAAAAUCCCCUCUGUAAGUCCUCAAAGAGGCUUUAAUAUGCCAUGACCCUGAGAUGGAGUAUCCCCUCCCCUAAACUUAUUCUCAUAAAAAUCAUACAUAAUAUAUAAUACGCAUAACAUGUUUUCUUUC